rnacentral:rRNA from 1 species
AUUGAACGCUGGCGGCAUGCUUUACACAUGCAAGUCGAACGGCAGCGGGGAGGAGCUUGCUUCUCUGCCGGCGAGUGGCGAACGGGUGAGUAGUACAUCGGAACGUGUCGAGAAGAGGGGGAUAACCACCCGAAAGGGUGGCUAAUACCGCAUAAAUUCUGAGGAAGAAAGCUGGGGACCUAGGAAUAGGCCUAGCGCUUUUUGAGCGGCCGAUGUCGGAUUAGCUAGUUGGUGAGGUAAAGGCUCACCAAGGCGAAGAUCUGUAGCGGGUCUGAGAGGAUGAUCCGCCACACUGGGACUGAGACACGGCCCAGACUCCUACGGGAGGCAGCAGUGGGGAAUUUUGGACAAUGGGGGCAACCCUGAUCCAGCCAUGCCGCGUGUAUGAAGAAGGCCUUAGGGUUGUAAAGUACUUUUGUUAGGGAAGAAAAGUCAGCUGUGAAUAAUGGCUGAUACUGACGGUACCUAAAGAAUAAGCACCGGCUAACUACGUG